AAUCAACGCUGGCGGCGUGCCUAACACAUGCAAGUCGAACGAGAAAGUGGAGCAAUCCAUGAGUAAAGUGGCGACCGGGUGAGUAACACGUGACUAACCUACCCUUGAGUGGGGGAUAACCUCGGGAAACCGGGGCUAAUACCGCAUAAAAUCUUCGGGAUGAGAAGCCGGAGAUCAAAGGAGCAAUUCGCUUUUGGAGGGGGUCGCGGCUGAUUAGCUAGUUGGUGGGGUAACGGCCCACCAAGGCUUUGAUCGGUAGCCGGCCUGAGA
rnacentral:rRNA from 1 species